GAGGGGAGCUGCGCGUGGAGCUCUUCCCGGUGGACGACGACGCGUCCACGAGCGACUACGCCGCCCACCACAAGUACUUGCUUUCCUCCGUCCAGCCUAUGAUUCCCCCGCUCGCGAGCGCGGUAUUCCCAUGAUGAGCCCGUCGUCAUCGCGCAUCGUCUCCAUCCUCGUCCCUCGACGCCCUUUCUUCCAGACCUCUCUUCCGCGUUGCUGUGAAGGAACGGGCGGGUGGCGUACCAGGCCACCAGAGCGAUCUCCAACUUGGUGGAUUCUUUCUUAGCUUCAAGGAACCUGCGAAGAAACAAUUCCCAAGCAGAUUUUAAAUUGGUAUUGCAUAUCAUCGAUAAAUCCACUCAAGAUCACUAGCACACAUGCUGAUGUGCACCCAAUUUCACUGAUGACUCUGCGGUGCAUCUAUAUCCUAUACAGGCUAUAUUCAGAAUACUCUUUAGUUGGACGGACAGCGGGAGGUGGAUGGCUUUGGUGCAACAUAAAAUGGCUAUGCAGCAGAGGAUUGGAAGAUGCAGUACAAUGACCGAUACUGGAGCUCCCGUCCCCAUCAAAGGCCUCAGGCACCCCUGCGGACUAGCGGACUAUCACAAUGCGGCAGAGAAAAUUAUAGUGACGGUCAGAACAUAAGCUACGGCAUGAGCUAGCGUGCAAGACACUGACAUAAUUGUUUUGGUUAGGUGUGGUCUUUCCCAGGUACAUAAGCUCUGGGAGUAAUCAGCGACCGGGAUCUCAAACUUUAAUUAGUGGCUUUAAAAGCCCUCUUUUCGAAAGCUGGAAUUUUGUUGUACUUAGUGGAAAUUAUGGUGUUUGCUACGGGAUUCUCAUGUUUUAGACAACCAAUUCAGUUAGUACUGAAUCAUUGGGUGAACAAUACAACAACAUAUGCUUGCGCAAA